UCCCUUGCCGCGGCCUGCCUGGCGUCCUCCUCUCCAGCCGGGCCUUGCCCCAGGGUGAGCAGCCCCAAGCCUCUCCAGUGCACGAUCGGGCUAGUCAGUUUCGGCCCAGUGUUGUUGUUUUUCUCUGUCUGCGAUUUUUGCCCAUUAAUGCUGAGAAAACAGAUUUGCAGAAAAACCCUUGAACUUCAUGCAUAUAAUAACUUCACAACCGUGCAUCGGAUUAAAAUAAUCUAAAUAUGUAAAAUGCUCAGAAAUUUGUGUAGUUUAAUAAUAUGCUGCUUGCAUCCAUGUUUAAUAUGUUUAAAGUGCUGUUUAUUUCAUUUGCUUAAAUGCCAUGUUAAGCUGAUUUAUUUCAUAACUAAUUAACCGUAACUCGGAAUUUAAUAAACUUUAUAUGUAAAUGGGGUAGAAAAAUGCAUAGAUUAACAUGGUGCACUUCAUUUUGCUGUUUAACAACAUUAAAAUUGUGUUUAUGGCAGAACAGUACGAAUUCCAAAAUAUGAACAUGAGGAUUUUUCGGAAUCGUCGUUUGUUAUUUCCGGCCUCAUUUAAACUUGCCUAGAUAGGUUGUUUAAUUAUGCUUCAACCCUUGCCAUGUUUAAUAACAUUUAAUAUUGUUGGGCACAUAAACGAGAGAGAACUAAAUAAUUAAAUGUGGUGUUUCGUCAAUAUGCAACUCGUUGCAUAUUGAGCUCCACUUAAUUUGUAGUAUUGUUUGUUGCAUUUUGCCAUGCCAUGCCUCUUUAAACCGGACAUGCAUCAUGUUUGUUUUUGCAUCAUGCCAGGUGUAUGUGUUGGUUGUUUACUAUGUUGUUUGUUUCUUUCCGGUUUGCUUCUCUCGUUAGCUUCGGUUUCGUUCCGGAGUUGUGAGGAUUCGUUCGACUUCCUCCAUUUGUCUUCUUCUUGGAAUCGUUCUUCUUCCUAGCGGGAUCUCAGGCAAGAUGACCAUACCCUCGAAAUCACUUCUAUCUUUGCUUGCUAGUUGUUUCGCUAUAUUGCUAUGUCGCGCUACCUACCACUUGCUUAUCAAGCCUCCCAAAUUGCCAUGAACCUCUAACCUUUGUCACCCUUCCUAGCAAACUGUUGUUUGGCUAUGUUUCCGCUUUUGCUCAGCCCCUCUUAUAGCGUUCCUAGUUGCAGGUGAAGAUGAAGAUUGCUCCAUGUUGGAUUAUGUUUAUGUUGGGAUAUCACAAUAUCUCUUAUAUAAUUAAUGCAUCUAUAUACUUGGUAAAGGGUGGAAGGCUCGGCCUUAUGCCUGGUGUUUUGUUCCCCUCUUGCCGCCCUAGUUUCCGUCAUACCGGUGUUAUGUUCCUUGAUUUUGCGUUCCUUACGCGGUUGGGUGAUUUAUGGGACCCCCUUGACAGUUCGCUUUGAAUAAAACUCCUCCAGCAAGGCCCAACCUUGGUUUUACCAUUUGCUACCACCUAUCCCCUUUUCCCUUGGGUUCUGUAGACUCAAGGGUCAUGUUUAUUUUAGACCCCCCCGGGCCAGUGCUCCAUCGAGUGUUGGUCCGAACCGAGCAGCCUGCGGGGCCACCUCGGGGAAACUCGAGGUCUGGUUUUACUCGUAGCUUGACUUAUCCGGUGUGCCCUGAGAACGAGAUAUGUGCAGCUCCUAUCGGGAUUUGUCGGCACAUUCGGGUGGCUUUGCUGGUCUUGUUUUACCAUUGUCGAAAUGUCUUGUAAACCAGAAUUCCGAGACAGAUCGGGUCUUUCUGGGAGAAGGUUUAUCCUUCGUUGACCGUGAGAGCUUAUAAUGGGCUAAUUGGGACACCCCUGCAGGGUAUAAACUUUUGAGAGCCGAGCCCGCGGUUAUGUGGCAGAUGGGAAUUUGUUAAUAUCCGAUUGUAGAGAACUUGACGCUUGACCAUAAUUAAAACGCAUCAACCGCGUGUGUAGCCGUGAUGGUCUCUUUCCGGCGGAGUCCGGGAGGUGAACACAGUUUCUGGGUUAGGUUUGACGUAAGUAGGAGUUCAGGAUCACUUCUUGAUCAUUGCUAGUUCACGACCGUUCCGUUGCUUCUCUUCUCGCUCUCAUUUGCGUAUGUUAGCCACCUUACAUGCUAGUGCUUGCUGCAGCUUCAUCACCUUACCUUUUCCUACCCAUAAGCUUAAAUAGUCUUGAUCUCGCGGGUGUGAGAUUGCUGAGUCCUCGUGACUCACAGAUACUUCCAAAACAGUUGCAGGUGCCGAUGAUACCAGUGCAGGCGAUGCUACCGAACUCAAGUGGGAGUUUGACGAGGACCUUGGUCGUUACUAUGUUUCUUUUCCUGUUGAUCAGUAGUGGAGCCCAGUUGGGACGAUCGGGGAUCUAGCAUUUGGGGUUGUCUUCUUUGUAUUUGGUUUUGACCGUAAUCGGUCUAUGUGUGUAUCUUGAAUGAUGUAUGAUUUUAUUUAUGUAUUGUGUGAAGUGGCGAUUGUAAGCCAACUCUUUAUCCCAUUCUUGUUCAUUACAUGGGAUUGUGUGAAGAUGACCCUUCUUGCAACAAACCACCAUGCGGUUAUGCCUCUAAGUCGUGCCUCGACACGUGGGAGAUAUAGCCGCAUCGUGGGUGUUACAAGUUGUUAAUCAGAGCCAUCCCCGACUUAGGAGCCCCCUGCUUGAUCGAAUCGCUCACGUUGUUGAGUCUAGAACAAAAAUGUUUUGAGUCUUAGGAUUAUACAUAUCGGAGAGUAGGAUUCUUUUUACUCCUCAGUCCCUUCGUCGCUCUGGUGAGGCCUCUUGACGUAGAAGUUUUGAAUUUUCUCUCCUCAAAUUUCACUAAAAAAAAUUAGGAUCACGCGGGUAUCUUGCAAUCGUUCUGAUGGUUUUGUGACGAGAACAUUGUUCUUGGUGCCUCCUGACAUUUAGGGGUUGUGGCAUUGUCCCGGGGAGUUGAGCUCCGAGGUGUUGUCGUCACAAUUUUAUCGUUGCAGUUCUGGGAUACCUGAGUUUCGCCUACAUCGAAAAUCUCUUUUAUGCAGUUGUUGGUGAGAUCACCUCGACGCCACCCAGUACUGGGGCGGGAGUUCGGGAGUAUUGCCAUAACUCGUAUAACGGAUGCUUUUCGAAGGUUGAGGUAAACGAUUUCUGGAGUUUUCUUGGUUACGUGUUGACGGAUGGAUACAGCUAGAUCUAGGGAUUGCUAGUUUGGGUGAUAUAUAUUGUGUCCCCUGUAUCCCCAACACCAGAUUGCAUAACCAGAAAGUUUCGGGAGUUUAUAAUUGGGAAUUCAAGUAGCUCCUAGGAUAUCUUUCCGACAGAUGCAUGAUAUGAGAUUGGGGUUCGACGUCUAGUGGUCCGCCUUUCCACGGUUGGUUUUACAGUGGUAUCGUAGUGUCUUAAAGAGUCCUUGGCUAUGCCGACUCGGGGAUGCUUCGUAUGUCAUGUGCACUGCCUUGUACAUGAUGGUGCUGUACGAUCGAGCCCAUGUGGGCCCCACCACGAAAAGUUCGGACGAAAUCUCUAUCAUAUGUUUGUUCCGGCUUAUUCUGCAAGCCAAUCCUUUGUUUUGUUUUGUGGUAUUCGAGUUGCUUCGAAGUCAAAUGUUAAAUCCAUACUUUUCCUAAACGGUGUUCUCAUAUUUCUAUAUGGAUACUAAUCCUUCUUGAUCUCGAGGUCGUCAUGUUAAUUCUUUCCAAUCGGCGUGCUUCUCUUCAAGUGGAUCCAAUCAUUCCAACAUUCCCAGGAUCGAUUCUAAGCUUUUCUCAACGGUGUUCGUUUCAUCCGACCCAAGUUGCCUUUGUUUUCCCACCCUCCCACCCUUUUAUUCAAGGACUCAGAUUUCUUAAUCAAGUAUCAUUUUAUUGAUGGGAAGCCUCUCCAUCCUUUUCCGUCAAUGUUCUUAUCCGGUGAUUCUCAGGAAGAUGUUCUUCAAGUUUAUCAUUCUUCAUUCUUUUUCUUCUCCGGUGGACUCAAGUCAAGAUUUCAGUGUUGAUCGUAUUCUUUUCCUUGUUUCAAAUGUUUUCUCAUGUCGGUGGAUCUCUUAAUCAUUCACCUCUCGCUUUCCAUGUGUUCCGGAGUGUUGAAGAUAUCUCAGAAGAGUCGCAUUUCCACUCCGCAUCAAUUCUAACUAUUUCGAGGUUGUUACCUCAUUCAAGCCAUUUAAUUCAACCGGUGCUAUCUCCUUUUCAAGUAAUCUUUUCAACGGUGUUUCUUUUGAGUGGGCCCUAACCCACAGGUCUUUUCCCAGGAUCUUACCUGACUCUUAUAAUUCUUUCCGGAGUUAUUCUCAAAUUCAUUGCAAAGUUUGACGUAAGAAUGAAUUAUCAUCAGUCAAAUGUCUUUCUCCAAGAUUUUUCAAAUUCUUUUCAUUGUUGGUUCAACCUUUCUAAUUUUCAUCCCGAAGUAUCUCAACAAUUCAUGGUGGUGUUUCUCAUCAUCAUUCUCAACAUUUGAAGACCGAAGAAGAGUUUCCCUUAAACCUUGUCCAUUCUCUUGAGGAUUCAUGGUUCUAGCUUAUGCCAUCCUCUCAUAAUUGUUUUCGAUUGUGAGAAUUCUUUUCUUACCCAUCUGGAGCAUUUCAGAGUUGUUUUCAUUUCUUGAUCAUCCAAAGGCCAUCAUUUCAGGAGAUUUCUUCAUUCUAAGUUUUCAGCUUCGUUCUCCAAUUAUUCUAAAUUGAUGUCUCUUCGUUCAUCUCCAUAUUCUCCUGGUGCAUCGUUCAAGUAUCCUCUAGUCAGCUCGUGAUCUAUUCGUUCUCGUGUAUCUAAAGUUCCCCAAGUAUCUUCGUUUGUUUUCAAAUUCUUACCGGUGAUUCAUCCCUUUACUUCGUUCGUUUUCAAUUCUCGCGGUGGUUCGUUCAAGAUUUUCUCUUCCUUCGUUAUCAUACCAAUUUAUUCGUUGUUUCAAUCCUACCGGUGGUUCGAUGAAGACCUUCACAAGUUUGCGCAAUAUCUAUCUUAAUCUUGUCUACGAGCAUAAGUAGUAUGCCAAAUCCAUUGCUUGUCAUCAAUUUAAUUGGUGAAGGAUAUGCAUAACAUAAUUCUUAUUCUUGUUUCCUCCAAGUGAUUAAUUCCUUCUUCCGGAGUUCGUUCAUGACAUCAAAUUCUAGGUUCCAAGUUGUUCAUCUUUUCUUUCCGGAGCUCCAAGUUAUUUCAAUUAUAUCAUUUCAAACCUUCAUCUAAUCAUUGCAAGGCUUCACCUUGUGUUGUCAACUUCUCUUUCUUUUUAUCAUCCUUUUAUUACCGGAGUUCUUCAUGGAGUCUCUACAUGGUGGUUCAUCAAAGAUUCUUUUUAUUCUUCAAUUGUCUUCAAGAUUUCUCUUGAAGUUAAGAUCCGCCGAGCUAUACUCUUAAAUAAACAUGGUGCUCAACACAUGUUUUGUGUUGAGGAGUUCAAGCAUUCUUCAUCUUGCAUUCCGAAGUGCAAUUAUCUCUACCUUAUCUUUGGGAUGGUGUUAUGUCAUUUUUGACAAUUUCCUUCAUGUUUCAUGAUUCACAAGUUGUCAGGAAUGAGAUAAUUAAAUCCAUAAUUUUCUGUUCGUUCAAGAGGUCUUUUCAACCAAUCAAUCUCUUUGUUGGAUUUAUCUUGUGUCAUGUUUCACCUAAAGCUUUCCCUAAGGAUUUUGCUAUUUAUGGUGCUCAUAAAUGACCCAAGUUCUUCAAUUAUCCUCCCAGCGAAAAAAGUUUCUCGUCUCCUUGUUCAUAUCAAUCCAAUCUAUUGUUUUCCGUUAGUGGCAGAAUUUCACCUCAAGUUUUUGAGAUGUGUUCCAUAAGCCCACAACAAGCUUGUUCCCUUUGUUGUUGAUUUCCCAACAACUCCGUUAUAACCUUCUUGGAAGGAUGCUUUCCAAGCUCAUUUGUGGCGGAAGUUGUCAUUUUCUUCUCCAUUCUUAUUUCAAGGAUCUAUCUUCUAUUAUUUAUUUCUUUUGGAGGCAUCGUGAUGUUGCUCUCUUCACUCAUCUUCUCGGUUUGUGAGGACCGUGUUCUUUUCGUUCUUAGCCAUUUCCAACAGGAGUGUCAUGCCCUCUUUUCAAGUUAUUCCCAUUCUGUCAAGUUUUGCCUCCCUUCUCAACCGGAGUGCUGUCUGAAAUCUUUCUUACCCCUAGGCCAUUCUUUCGUUAGUUACGGAGGCAGUGUGUUGUUAAAUUCAUCGAGUUUUCCUCUCAUCUUGUCAAGAUCAUGUUCAAUUCCUUCCAUUUACAGUCGGAGUGCUGCCCAAAUUAUAUCAUUCUUAUUCCUUCCCUAUCUUGUUUUUACUGGAGUGGUUUAAAUAUCUAUCGUGCCACUUAACCUCAAGGUUCUCAUGGUGUUCCUUGUUUUCCGUUUACUACGGAGUGAUCUCAAUUCGCUUAUCUACGUUGUGUCAUUUCUUUCGAUUUGUUCAACCCCGCAAGGUUCUUUGGUUUCACUCAUUUGUCUAAGAAGCAAUUAGUUUUACCUCUUCUCUUCCUCUUCCGUUUUUCUCUGGUGCCAUCCUAGAUCUCGGGAUGAGAUCCUCUUGUAGUGGUGGAGUGUUGUAACGCCCCGAGACCGACGCUCCAGAUGCCUACAUUGUUUUGCGAGUCGGUAGUGUUUUUAUUUGUUUGUUGCAUCUCAUCAUGGCAUCAUCCCCAUUGCAUCGGCACUCGUUGCCGUCAUUGUUUUUAAAAACUGCAUCCGCUCGUAGUUGCCGCUUCUUUCGUUUCUCGGUUGACCUUGUCUCUGAUCAACCGGACCGCUCUCUUCUCUCUCUUUUCUGAGCUCAUCAAACCCCUUGCCUUCGUUGAUCGUUCCGAGACCAACCGGGUUUUUCGAGUCCCUAUCGUCUGGCCGCUUAAUCUUUCUCCACAGUGCAUAGACCCCUCGCGUGCGCGUCCGAAAUUGUCCCGAACCCGAACCGGACUAUCGUCACCGUUGGGUCCGGAUCAUCCCCUAACAUCUACAAAACAUCUCCGUUUUCUUUGUUGGACGCUCUAGCCUACUCAUUAUCGACCGCCCGAUUACGAUCGGACGGAUCGUGUUAAACCCCUACCCUAAUCCCCUACCUAUAUAAAUAGUCCAACCAUAAACUUUAGGAAGCUUGUCCCAUCCUUCCCACUCCGCCGCCACCAUCUUCCUCGGGAUCCAAGCCCGCAGCCACCCUCUCUCCUUCCCUCGUUUUCCCCACCGGACCAAUCCUUCCCCUCGACUCAGAGCGCCCCUGCAGCCUCCCGCGUCUGAUCCAGGGAGAGCAGCACCCUCCCGAGUUCCUCCAUGCCGUGCCCCUUCUCCAAGUCCUGCGCCUCUCCUCUAGCUCCCUGCCGUCGUCCCCGGCGAGCAGUUCUGCUAGCACCACCAGCAGGACAGCCACGCUCGCGCCUCUCCUUCCUUUCCCUUUCUUCUCCUGUUGCCUUUCCCUCUCAUGCUCUCUCUCUCUCCCAGGUACGCCCAUCGCCAAGCUGUUGCCGUGCGCGCCUGGAUCCGCCAUCCCCGGCUCCUCCGCGCUCGAUUCCCGUCGCUGCGCCAAGUCCCUCGCCCCGCCUCUGCGUCUCUGCUCCUUCCUCGACGCCGAGCUCGCCAAGCUCCGCCACCUCGACCUUCUUCUCGCCGGAGUCCCACACCAACCGCCGCUGCGAGUCGUCCUCAACGCCUUGCCCGCCUUUGGUCGCUCAGCCGGCGAGCCCAGUCGCCGAUGAAGACCCGCAGGUCGCCGUGUGCCCCUGCUCCUCCUUCGCUUUUCCCCUCUUCCUCCCUGACCCCUUUCUCGCGCCCGUGUCCUGCAGGAGCGCGUCGCAGCCGCCGCCCGGAUCCACCGCCUCCUGCCGCCCUUCACCUCCUGCCGUCGCCCGGAUCCAGCGCCCCUUCGCCAGUCCCUCCCCGGCGCCGUCUUCUGCGUCGUCGUGUUCUACUGUUGCUUAUGUUGUAAACGAGCAGAGAACGAGCGCACGCUACCGCCCCCGCGUUGACCCGUCGCCGAGCCCGGCCUCGCGGCUUGCUUCCUCACGGGCCACAACCCACAGCUGGCCCAGCUCCCUUGCCGCGGCCUGCCUGGCGUCCUCCUCUCUAGUCGGGCCUUGGCCCAGGGUGAGCAACCCCCAUCCUCUCCAGUGCACGAUCGGGCUAGUCAGUUUCGGCCCAGUGUUGUUUUUUUUCUCUGUCUGUGAUUUUUGCCUAUUAAUGCUGAGAAAAUAGAUUUGCAGAAAAACCCUUGAACUUCAUGCAUAUAAUAACUUCACAACCGUGCAUCGGAUUAAAAUAAUCUAAAUAUGUAAAAUGCUCAGAAAUUUGUGUAGUUUAAUAAUAUGCUGCUUGCAUCCAUGUUUAAUAUGUUUAAAGUGUUGUUUUUUUAAUUUGCUUAAAUGCCAUGUUAAAAUGAUUUAUUUCAUAACUAAUUAACCGUAACUCGGAAUUUAAUAAACUUUAUAUGUAAAUGGUGUAGAAAAAUGCAUAGAUUAACAUGGUGCACUUCAUUUUGCUGUUUAACAACAUUAAAAUUGUGUUUAUGGCAGAACAGUACCAAUUCCAAAAUAUGAACAUGAGGAUUUUCCGGAAUUGUCGUUUGUUAUUUCCGGCCUCAUUUAAACUUGCCUAGAUAGGUUGUUUAAUUAUGCUUCACCCCUUGCCAUGUUUAAUAACAUUUAAUAUUGUUGGGCACAUAAACGAGAGAGAACUAAAUAAUUAAAUGUGGUGUUUCGUCAAUAUGCAACUCGUUGCAUAUUGAGCUCCACUUAAUUUGUAGUAUUGUUUGUUGCAUUUUGCCAUGCCAUGCCUCUUUAAACCGAACAUGCAUCAUGUUUGUUUUUGCAUCAUGCCAUGUGUAUGUGUUGGUUGUUUACUAUGUUGUUUGUUUCUUUCCGGUUUGCUUCUCUCGUUAGCUUCGGUUUCGUUCCGGAGUUGUGAGGAUUCGUUCGACUUCGUCCGUUUGUCUUCUUCUUGGACUCGUUCUUCUUCCUAGCGGGAUCUCAGGCAAGAUGACCAUACCCUCGAAAUCACUUCUAUCUUUGCUUGCUAGUUGUUUCGCUAUAUUGCUAUGUCGCGCUACCUACCACUUGCUUAUCAAGCCUCCCAAAUUGCCAUGAACCUCUAACCUUUGUCACCCUUCCUAGCAAACUGUUGUUUGGCUAUGUUUCCGCUUUUGCUCAGCCCCUCUUAUAGCGUUGCUAGUUGCAGGUGAAGAUGAAGAUUGCUCCAUGUUGGAUUAUGUUUAUGUUGGGAUAUCACAAUAUCUCUUAUAUAAUUAAUGCAUCUAUAUACUUGGUAAAGGGUGGAAGGCUCGGCCUUAUGCCUGGUGUUUUGUUCCCCUCUUGCCGCCCUAGUUUCCGUCAUACCGGUGUUAUGUUCCUUGAUUUUGCGUUCCUUACGCGGUUGGGUGAUUUAUGGGACCCCCUUGAUAGUUCGCUUUGAAUAAAACUCCUCCAGCAAGGCCCAACCUUGGUUUUACCAUUUGCUACCACCUAUCCCCUUUUCCCUUGGGUUCUGCAGACUCAAGGGUCAUCUUUAUUUUAGACCCCCCCGGGCCAGUGCUCCUUCGAGUGUUGGUCCGAACCGAGUAGCCUGCGGGGCCACCUCGGGGAAACUCGAGGUCUGGUUUUACUCGUAGCUUGACUUAUCCGGUGUGCCCUGAGAACGAGAUAUGUGCAGCUCCUAUUGGGAUUUGUCGGCACAUUCGGGUGGCUUUUCUGGUCUUGUUUUACCAUUGUCGAAAUGUCUUGUAAACCGGAAUUCCGAGACAGAUCGUGUCUUUCCGGGAGAAGAUUUAUCCUUCGUUGACCGUGAGAGCUUAUAAUGGGCUAAGUUGGGACACCCUUGCAGGGUAUAAACUUUCGAGAGCCGUGCCCGCGGUUAUGUGGCAGAUGGGAAUUUGUUAAUAUCCGGUUGUAGAGAACUUGACACUUGACCCUAAUUAAAAAGCAUCAACCGCGUGUGUAGCCGUGAUGGUCUCUUUCCGCGGAGUCCGGGAGGUGAACACGGUUUCUGGGUUAUGUUUGACGUAAGUAGGAGUUCAGGACCACUUCUUGAUCAUUGCUACUUCACGACCGUUCCGUUGCUUCUCUUCUCGCUCUCAUUUGCGUAUGUUAGCCACCUUACAUGCUAGUGCUUGCUGUAGCUUCAUCACCUUACCUUUUCCUACCCAUAAGCUUAAAUAGUCUUGAUCUCGCGGGUGUGAGAUUGCUGAGUCCUCGUGACUCACAGAUACUUCCAAAACAGUUGCAGGUGCCGAUGAUACCAGUGCAGGCGAUGCUACCGAACUCAAGAGGGAGUUCGACGAGGACCUUGGUCGUUACUAUGUUUCUUUUCCUGUUGAUCAGUAGUGGAGCCCAGUUGGGACGAUCGGGGAUCUAGCAUUUGGGGUUGUCUUCUUUGUAUUCGGUUUUGACCGUAAUCGGUCUAUGUGUGUAUCUUGAAUGAUGUAUGAUUUUAUUUAUGUAUUGUGUGAAGUGGCGAUUGUAAGCCAACUCUUUAUCCCAUUCUUGUUCAUUACAUGGGAUUGUGUGAAGAUGACCCUUCUUGCGACAAA
rnacentral:lncRNA from 1 species